rnacentral:rRNA from 1 species
CCUCAGUAACGGCGAGUGAAGCGGCAAAAGCUCAAAUUUGAAAUCUGGUACCUUCGGUGCCCGAGUUGUAAUUUGAAGGUAGUUUUCUGGUGCUGGUCCUUGUCUAUGUUCCUUGGAACAGGACGUCAUAGAGGGUGAGAAUCCCGUCUGAUGGGGAAUCCAGUGCUAUGUAGAUUUCUACCGACGAGUCGAGUUGGUUUGGGAAU